CUCUGCCUUCUGGCACUUCGCCUCUUUUGCCUUCCCCUGUCUCUCCUCUUGUUUCUGCAUCACUUUCUCUGUGAUGUACAUAACUGGCUUCUAUACCAUCCUCCCACCCGCGAUGUCAAGGAGCGAUGAGCACCUCCUUGGAUCGCCCACUUCAGAUUCCCCCAUUGCUGUCCUAGGAAACCCAACUGCACUGGCCCAUUGUUGCCACUGGUUUGGGAAAAUAGCGAGGUGGUGACAGAACGAGGAAUCGCAACAGAGAAGGCGUGCCCUGCCUGAUCUUCUGCAGUCUCCCACACAGUCCCCUCAAGCUGGCCCCACUCCGCCAUUUGCCAGAUGCGAGGAGACUUGGCAGAUGAGGACCUGGACCUGACAUCAGAUACCGCUUGCUGUGCAUACCAAAUUACAACUAAUGCAGAAUGCAGAAGUAACAGACUAUAAAUUGUCGCCUCUACUUAUGCUCUGGACUCAGACCUCUGAAGAAUUAUCUCCUCUGGGUACAUGGGUGUGAAAUAAACCUCCUGCCUUCCAAGAUCUCCAACUGCUGCUUGGU